rnacentral:lncRNA from 1 species
UAGCAGUCUUCUUGAAAACCUCACAAAGCUUCAAGACUGAUUUUUUUUUUAAUCAUUCACAGCCCACCUCCAUAUAUAAAGCAACCUUCUUAGGCUUGGUUUUUUUUUCUUCCCUUGCUUGUAGACUUGUCUUAUAUCACUAAAACCCAGGCCCAUGGAAGCAAUAACUGUAUUGGUCAUGUUAACUUCUGAAGCCCCAGCUCCUCAUGCCUUCACCUGCCUUGGAGAGAAACUCUCCCACCAGGAGCCUAUCGAGAAGAGAAGGAAGGUGUAAAGGCGAGAUCUUCAGAGACAGUGAAGCCUCACUCCUUCCUCGCAGGAGGAUGUACAUUUACAGUCGCAAUCACAGUAUCCUGUUCUACCCUGCGCUGGAGCCGUCACACAACCCAAUCGGAGCUGUCAUGGAUUCAAGCAACCAACUGCAUAGAAGACGCUUUCUGGUGAUGAUGAUGAUGAUGAUGAUGAUGUGGUGA